rnacentral:rRNA from 1 species
GACGAACGCUGGCGGCGUGCUUAACACAUGCAAGUCGAACGGAAAGGCCCUGCUUUUGUGGGGUGCUCGAGUGGCGAACGUGUGAGUAACACGUGAGUAACCUGCCCUUGACUUUGGUAUAACUUCAGGAAACUGGGGCUAAUACCGGAUAGGAGCUCCUGCUGCAUGGUGGGGGUUGGAAAGUUUCGGCGGUUGGGGAUGGACUCGCGGCUUAUCAGCUUGUUGGUGGGGUAGUGGCUUACCAAGGCUUUGACGGGUAGCCGGCCUGAGAGGGUGACCGGCAACAUGGGGACUGAGAUACGGCCCAGACUCCUACGGGAGGCAGAAGUGGGGAAUAUUGAACAAUGGGCGGAAGCCUGAUGAAGCAACGCCGCGGGCGGGAUGACGGCCUUCGGGUGGUAAACCGCUUUCGCCUGUGACGAAGCGUGAGUGACGGUAAUGGGUAAAGAAGCACCGGCUAACUACGUG